GGAAACGGUGAUCCUUAUAGGUACAUGCUGAUCACGAGAUGCCGAUAAUCAUGGAAUCAGGCUUGUUCUUGGUUCCAGUCGGUGUCUCACCCCAUCUAAGCUCUCGGUGAGGUGUCUAUUCUUGAUUGGAGCCGCUUUGAGUGACGGCAAUGAUAGUUGGGUAUGUUCCCCGUGAGGGUAGAGCAUAGACUUUAUGAACAGAGCUGGGCUGUCGCCUCACCAAAAACCAUCGAUAACUGGUGGCUGAGUGAGAAAUCACUGGAUCUGCUAUGCAGGGAGCCUUAAUGAGUUGGUCUUCACCGACACAACCGCCACUAUCGGUAAUCUAUUCCCAAUUAACUUGUUUCUAGUAAAAGGCUAAAUUAGUCAGUGGAAAAUAGCCUUAGCGAUGGAUCGGUUGAUUCGCGUAUCGAUGAAAAACGCAGCUAGCUGCGUUAUUUACCACGAAUUGCAGACGCUUAGAGUGGUGAAGUUUUGAACGCACAGCGCCGUUGGGUUUUCCCUUCGGCACGUCUGGCUCAGGGUUGUUUAAUAGACUUCGAUAUUGCUAGGAAGGCAGCAAUAUCGUGCACCGAACGGUGAUAGUGUCUAUAAAAUAGUGGUGCAUACCCCGUUUUAGGGUAAAAUAAAGGUCGUAAACUGAAACUUCUUCCGCCCGAGAAGUUAUAGGUAAUACUUAUGGAUGUGCCAUGUAUGAAAUAUGACGUGGUUAUAUACAUAAAUAGUGUUUCCUUGAAGUCUCAUUAUGCAACCUGAGCUCAGUCGUGAUUACCCGCUGAACUUUAAGCAUAAUAUAA
rnacentral:rRNA from 1 species